rnacentral:rRNA from 1 species
GGGCGUAAGCGCGCGUAGGCGGUUAAUUAAGUCAGAUGUGAAAUCCCAGGGCUCAACCUUGGAACUGCAUUUGAAACUGGUUAACUAGAGUUUUGUAGAGGGUGGUAGAAUUUCAGGUGUAGCGGUGAAAUGCGUAGAGAUCUGAAGGAAUACCAGUGGCGAAGGCGGCCACCUGGACAAUAACUGACGCUGAGGCGCGAAGGCGUGGGGAGCAAACGGGAUUAGAUACCCCGGUAGUCCACGCAGUAAACGAUGUCUAUUAGAAUUUUGUGGCUAUAUGCCGUGGGAUUCAAAGCUAACGCAUUAAAUAGACCGCCUGGGGAGUACGGCCGCAAGGUUAAAACUCAAAUGAAUUGACGGGGGCCCGCACAAGCGGUGGAGCAUGUGGUUUAAUUCGAUGCAACGCGAAGAACCUUACCAUCCCUUGACAUCCAGAGAAUCACCAAGAGAUUGAUGAGUGCCUUCGGGAACUCUGAGACAGGUGCUGCAUGGCUGUCGUCAGCUCGUGUUGUGAAAUGUUGGGUUAAGUCCCGCAACGAGCGCAACCCUUAUCCUUAUUUGCCAGCGGGUUAUGCCGGGAACUCUAGGGACACUGCCGGUGAUAAACCGGAGGAAGGUGGGGACGACGUCAAGUCAUCAUGGCCCUUACGGGAUGGGCUACACACGUGCUACAAUGGCAAAUACAAAGGGCUGCUAACCAGCGAUGGUAUGCGAAUCUCCUAAAGUUUGUCGUAGUCCGGAUCGGAGUCUGCAACUCGACUCCGUGAAGUUGGAAUCGCUAGUAAUCGUGGAUCAGAAUGCCACGGUGAAUACGUUCCCGGGCCUUGUACACACCGCCCGUCACACCAUGGGAGUGGGCUGCACCAGAAGUCAUUAGCUUAACCUUCGGGAUGGCGAUGACCACGGUGUGGUUCAUGACUGGG